AAGUCGUAACAAGGUUUCCGUAGGUGAACCUGCGGAAGGAUCAUUACCAAAUCCACAAUACCCCCUUUUUUAAUCCCCAUGUGAACUGAUGAAUAAAAUUAAAUUGUUUUUUGUCUUUUGGGAAGUAAAAGGAAAAAAAAAAAACUUUUUUAGGUUUUUAUUUUUUAAUUUUAUUUCCCAGAGGGAAUUCUCCCCAAACCUCUUCAAAAGCGGUCUUCAUUUAUAUUUAUAUAUAAUUGACGCUUUUGUGUGAAAAAAGGAGAGUUUUCUUUAAAAAAAAUUUAUAAUUUAAAACAACUUGAAAUAAAACUUUUUAUGGAACAAAUUCUUUAAUUUUUUUAUAAUUAAAAAUAAAAAACAACUUUUAACGGUGGAUCUCUUGGCUCGU
rnacentral:misc_RNA from 1 species